rnacentral:rRNA from 1 species
AUUGAACGCUGGCGGCGUGCCUAACACAUGCAAGUCGAGCGGUAACAGGUGUAGCAAUACAUGCUGACGAGCGGCGGACGGGUGAGUAACGCUUGGGAAUCUGCCUAUUAGUGGGGGACAACCCGGGGAAACUCGGGCUAAUACCGCAUACGCUCUACGGAGGAAAGCCGGGGACCGCAAGGCCUGGCGUUAAUAGAUGAGCCCAAGUCGGAUUAGCUAGUUGGUAGGGUAAUGGCCACCAAGGCGACGAUCCGUAACCUGGUCUGAGAGGACGACCAGUCACACCGGAACUGAGACACGGUCCGGACUCCUACGGGAGGCAGCAGUGGGGAAUAUUGGACAAUGGGCGGAAAGCCUGAUCCAGCGACGCCGCGUGGGUGAAGAAGGCCUGCGGGUUGUAAAGCCCUUUCAGUGGGGAAGAAAAGACCUCGACCUAACACGUCGGGGUCUUGACGUAACCCAUAGAAGAAGCACCGGCUAACUCUGUGCCAGCCGCCGCGGU